rnacentral:lncRNA from 1 species
CUCCACCCAGCCCAGCAUACUGAGAACCUGGUGUCCACGGCUUCACGGCAAAGGGAAAAUCAGGGCAUGUAUUUCCUUGCAGAUGUUCUUUGAGUCUCUUUGAGCUCAUGACAGAAGGCACAGAAGCAGGUGAUGACAGAAGGCGCUCUGUGUGGAGGGGAGGAUGUGGCCAAAAUGUGCUUCGGUUCCUGGGGUUCGGCACUGAUGCUUGACCAAGUUCUAAAGAAGAUGUGGAAACUGAGGCCCAGAGUGAUGAAGAACGGGCCCAAAUUCACACAGGAAGAAACAAGCCAUUGCCUCUUCCCCGUCACACAGCACCUGCUGUCUUGGGAGAUGAGUCUGAAAUGCUAUGGAUGAAAAGAGAGCAUGGAGAAACUGCCAAAGACCUGCCGACAGUGCAUAUUCAUUUGUUCUUUCAUUAAAAAAUGUUUACG